rnacentral:rRNA from 1 species
CGACUCUGCAACGGAUAUCUCGCUCUGCAUCGAUAAGAACGUAGCGAAAUGCGAUACUGGUGUAAUGCAGAAUCCCGUGAACCAUCGAGUCUUUGAACUGCAGUUGCGCCCGAAGCUUGGGUCGGGCACGUCUGCUGGGCGUAGAUUGUUGCCUCCUAAAUGC